rnacentral:rRNA from 1 species
GACGAACGCUGGCGGCGUGCCUAACACAUGCAAGUCGAACGGAGAUACUUUUGAGGAGACUUCGGUCAACGAGACUGUAUCUUAGUGGCGGACGGGUGAGUAACGCGUGAGCAAUCUGCCUUUCAGAGGGGGACAACAGUUGGAAACGACUGCUAAUACCGCAUAACGCGUAGAGAUCGCAUGGUCUUUACGCCAAAGAUUUAUCGCUGAAAGAUGGCCUCGCGUCUGAUUAGCUAGAUGGCGGGGUAACGGCCCACCAUGGCGACGAUCAGUAGCCGGUCUGAGAGGAUGAACGGCCACAUUGGGACUGAGAUACGGCCCAGACUCCUACGGGAGGCAGCAGUGGGGAAUAUUGGGCAAUGGGCGAAAGCCUGACCCAGCAACGCCGCGUGAAGGAAGAAGGCCUUCGGUUGUAAACUUACUUUACCUAGGGACGAAGAACGUGACGGUACCUCGGAGAAAAAGACAACGGCGUAACUACGUAG